AAGAUGUAACGGUGCUAAACCAUGCACCGAAGCUGCGGCAGCGAGACUAUGUGUUGUUGGGUAGGGGAGCGGUCUGUAAGCCUGCGAAGGUGUACUGUGAGGUAUGCUGGAGGUAUCAGAAGUGCGAAUGCUGACAUAAGUAACGAUAAUGCGGGUGAAAAACCCGCACGCCGGAAGACCAAGGGUUCCUGUCCAACGUUAAUCGGGGCAGGGUGAGUCGACCCCUAAGGCGAGGCUGAAAAGCGUAGUCGAUGGGAAACGGGUUAAUAUUCCCGUACUGGUGGUAACUGCGAUGGGGGAACGGAGAAGGCUAGGUUGUCCGGGCGACGGUCGUCCCGGUUCAAGCAGGUAGGCAGAGUGAUUAGGCAAAUCCGGUCACUUAAUGCUGAGAUGUGAUGACGAACCACCAAGGUGGUGAAGCAAUUGAUGCCCCGCUUCCAGGAAAAGCCUCUAAGCUUCAGGUUACCAACAAUCGUACCCCAAACCGACACAGGUGGUCAGGUAGAGAAUACUCAGGCGCUUGAGAGAACUCGGGUGAAGGAACUAGGCAAAAUGGUGCCGUAACUUCGGGAGAAGGCACGCUGGCGGUAGGUAAAGUCCCUUGCGGACGGCGCUGAAGCCAGUCGAAGAUACCAGCUGGCUGCAACUGUUUAUUAAAAACACAGCACUGUGCAAACACGAAAGUGGACGUAUACGGUGUGACGCCUGCCCGGUGCUGGAAGGUUAAUUGAUGGGGUCAGCCGUAAGGCGAAGCUCCUGAUCGAAGCCCCAGUAAACGGCGGCCGUAACUAUAACGGUCCUAAGGUAGCGAAAUUCCUUGUCGGGUAAGUUCCGACCUGCACGAAUGGCGUAAUGAUGGCCAGGCUGUCUCCACCCGAGACUCAGUGAAAUUGAACUCGCUGUGAAGAUGCAGUGUACCCGCGGCAAGACGGAAAGACCCCGUGAACCUUUACUAUAGCUUGACACUGAACAUUGAGCCUUGAUGUGUAGGAUAGGUGGGAGGCUUUGAAGUGUGGACGCCAGUCUGCAUGGAGCCAACCUUGAAAUACCACCCUUUAACGUUUGAUGUUCUAACCUAGGCCCAUAAACUGGGUCGGGGACCGUGUCUGGUGGGUAGUUUGACUGGGGCGGUCUCCUCCUAAAGAGUAACGGAGGAGCACGAAGGUUGGCUAAGCAUGGUCGGACAUCAUGCGGUUAGUGCAAAGGCAUAAGCCAGCUUGACUGCGAGAGUGACGGCUCGAGCAGGUACGAAAGUAGGUCUUAGUGAUCCGGUGGUUCUGAAUGGAAGGGCCAUCGCUCAACGGAUAAAAGGUACUCCGGGGAUAACAGGCUGAUACCGCCCAAGAGUUCAUAUCGACGGCGGUGUUUGGCACCUCGAUGUCGGCUCAUCACAUCCUGGGGCUGAAGUAGGUCCCAAGGGUAUGGCUGUUCGCCAUUUAAAGUGGUACGCGAGCUGGGUUUAGAACGUCGUGAGACAGUUCGGUCCCUAUCUGCCGUGGGCGUUGGAAGAUUGAGAGGGGUUGCUCCUAGUACGAGAGGACCGGAGUGAACGCACCACUGGUGUUCGGGUUGUCAUGCCAAUGGCAUUGCCCGGUAGCUAAGUGCGGAAGAGAUAACCGCUGAAAGCAUCUAAGCGGGAAACUUGCCUCGAGAUGAGUCUUCCCUGACGCUUUAAGCGACCUAAAGCAACGUUUAAGACUAAGACGUUCAUAG
rnacentral:rRNA from 1 species